rnacentral:rRNA from 1 species
CAGAACGAACGCUGGGGGCGCGUUUUAAGCAUGCAAGUCGAGCGGCAGCACCAGCAAUGGUGCCUAGAGCGGCGGACUGGUGAGUAACGCGUGGGUGANGUNCCUUGAGGUUGGGAUAGCCAUUAGAAAUAGUGGGUUAUACCGAAUGUGGCUGCCGGGUUAUGAUCUGGCAGAGAAAGGGGCUCCGGCCCCGCCUUGAGAUGGGCCCGCGUCCCAUUAGGUAGUUGGUGAGGUAAGAGCCCACCAAGCCCGAGAUGGGUAGCCGGCCUGAGAGGGUGAACGGCCACACUGGGACUGAGAUACGGCCCAGACUCCUACGGGAGGCAGCAGCUAAGAAUAUUCCGCAAUGGACGAAAGUCUGACGGAGCGACGCCGCGUGGAUGAGGAAGGCCGAAAGGUUGUAAAAUCCUUUUGCGGAUGAAGAAUAAGCGGGGCAGGGAAUGNCCUCGUGAUGACGUUACUCCCGAAAAAGCCCCG